rnacentral:rRNA from 1 species
UAGCGGCGCGCUUAAUGCAUGCAAGUCGAGCGAUGAGGCCUUCUUCGGAGGGCACAUCAGCGGCAGACGGGUGAGUAACACGUGGGUGACCUGCCCUUGAGACGGGGAUAACGGAUGGAAACAUGCGCUAAUACCCGAUAGGGUCCCAGGGUCAAAGCUGGGAUGAAAGCUUUGGUGCUCAAGGAGGGGCUCGCGGCCCAUCAGCUAGUUGGUGAGGUAACGGCUCACCAAGGCGAAGACGGGUAGGGGGUGUGAGAGCACGGCCCCCCACAAUGGGACUGAGACACGGCCCAUACUCCUACGGGAGGCAGCAGCAGGGAAUAUUGCACAAUGGACGGAAGUCUGAUGCAGCGACGCCGCGUGGAUGAUGAAGGCCUUCGGGUUGUAAAAUCCUUUACGGGGUGACGAGGAAGGACGGUAGCCCCGGAACAAGCGUCGGCUAACUACGUGCCAGCAGCCGCGGUAAGACGUAGGACGCAAGCGUUAUCCGGAUUUACUGGGCGUAAAGCGUCUGUAGGCGGAUGAGUAAGUUGGGCGUGAAAGCUCCGGGCUCAACCCGGAGAGGCCGUUCAAUACUGCUGAUCUAGAGGAGGCCAGAGGGGAGUGGAAUUCCUGGAGUAGCGGUAAAAUGCGCAGAUAUCAGGAAGAACACCAGUGGCGAAGGCGGCUCCCUAGGGCCCACCUGACGCUGAGAGACGACAGCUAGGGGAGCGAACAGGAUUAGAGACCCUGGUAGUCCUA